UUCCCCCAUUGGACAAAGAGACAUCUUGUUAGUGGUGUUAUUUUAUCAGUCAGGGGCAGGGCCGAUGGCAGUCCUUUGUCCAUCCUAGCUUGAUGUCUGGCUUGGUGGCCAAAGCUGUUUUAUGCCCAGGACACCAAA